UUCAUCCUCUCUCUCGUACCUUUCAUUCCUAUUAUCUAUUCAUUCAUCUAAAAUCAUUCAACAUCAUUGCAGAUUUGCUGUAGAUCUUCAUUCCCAAAAUCAUCCAAGCAGAUCUCCUCUCUCUCGUAUGAUUUUGGUAUAGAAAUGAAUGGAUAGCAGCAAAAUCAUUCCCAUUGCAGAUCUCCUCUUUCUCGUACCUUUCUCCUUUACUUCUCAUAAAAAGUGUUCAAGCUUAGCAUAGCAGAGGAAAUCAGAUUCUCGGUUCAGGAGGCAGAAAAUCAACAAAAGAAAAGCUAAUGAGAAGAUGGAAAAAAAGACAGAAGACGCAUCAUGCAUAACACCUCUUACCACUAAUCCAUCAACUACGGACAUAUCACGGCCGCUUUAUCCAGGCAUUUCAAACUACAUGCCAAGUUAUUACGAUCCAGUGCCUCAUGUGUGGUUACCACCUUUUAUACCUCUUCCAAGUGCCAAUCCAUAUCUAUUGAGCAACCAGGUGAUCGUUGGAGCAUAGUUUUAAUUUUAUGAACUUGAAUAUUUAG